ACCAGACUCCUACGGGAGGCAGCAGUGGGGGAUAUUGCACAAUGGGGGGAACCCUGAUGCAGCGACGCCGCGUGAGUGAAGAAGUAUCUCGGUACGUAAAGCUCUAUCAGCAGGGAAGAAAAUGACGGUACCUGACUAAGAAGCCCCGGCUAACUACGUGCCAGCAGCCGCGGUAAUACGUAGGGGGCAAGCGUUAUCCGGAUUCACUGGGUGUAAAGGGAGCGUAGACGGCGACGCAAGUCUGGAGUGAAAGCCCGGGGCCCAACCCCGGGACUGCUCUGGAAACUGCGUCGCUGGAGUACGGGAGGGGCAGGCGGAAUUCCUGGUGUAGCGGUGAAAUGCGUAGAUAUCAGGAGGAACACCGGUGGCGAAGGCGGCCUGCUGGACUGCAACUGACGUUGAGGCCCGAAAGCGUGGGGAGCAAACAGGAUUAGAUACCCGAGUA
rnacentral:rRNA from 1 species